AUGAGGCGAGCUUUGAGGGUUGGGGCAUUCAAGUCCCCGUCGAUGGCCGCCGAGAGCCAUCGAUGUCCUCCUCUUGUAUCCGGCUGGGGCUCCUCUCUUCCUAACAAUAAAACGAGCCUGCAAGAUGCUCAAGGACCAGGACAACAUGUAGUUUCAAAAUUACAGAUUGUGGUCAGCUAUAGGAUGUUUAUGGGACCAUGUUUUAGCUACAAGAGAUCAACAACAUCACAUCAUGAGAGAGAGGAUGCAGCAUCAACAAUUCAGGAGAAAGAUCAGAGCAGAGCAGAAGUAAAUAUGUUUUGA
rnacentral:rRNA from 1 species